UGGCAAGGAAAGAAGAGGAUCA
rnacentral:miRNA from 1 species